rnacentral:rRNA from 1 species
GAGGAAUAUUGGUCAAUGGGCGCAAGCCUGAACCAGCCAUCCCGCGUGCAGGAUGACGGCCCUAUGGGUUGUAAACUGCUUUUAUACAGGAAGAAAAAUCUCCACGUGUGGGGACUUGCCGGUACUGUAUGAAUAAGCAUCGGCUAACUCCGUGCCAGCAGCCGCGGUAAUACGGAGGAUGCAAGCGUUAUCCGGAUUCAUUGGGUUUAAAGGGUGCGUAGGCGGCUCUUUAAGUCAGUGGUGAAAUCCUGCCGCUUAACGGUAGAAUUGCCAUUGAUACUGAAGAGCUUGAGUACAAUUGAGGUAAGCGGAAUGUGUAGUGUAGCGGUGAAAUGCUUAGAUAUUACACAGAACACCAAUUGCGAAGGCAGCUUACUAAACUGUUACUGACGCUGAUGCACGAAAGCGUGGGGAGCGAAC